rnacentral:rRNA from 1 species
UGGGGAAUCUUGCGCAAUGGCCGAAAGGCUGACGCAGCGACGCCGCGUGUGGGAUGAAGCUCUUCGGGGUGUAAACCACUGUUGCCCGGGACGAACGGGCGGAUUUAUCCGCCGUGACGGUACCGGGUGAGGAAGCACCGGCUAACUCCGUGCCAGCAGCCGCGGUAAUACGGAGGGUGCGAGCGUUGUCCGGAAUCACUGGGCGUAAAGGGCGCGUAGGCGGCUCGAUAAGCGUGUGGUGAAAGCUCGGGGCUCAACCCCGAGUCGGCCGUGCGAACUGUCGGGCUUGAGCACUGUAGAGGCAGGUGGGAUUCCGGGUGUAGCGGUGGAAUGCGUAGAGAUCCGGAAGAACACCGGUGGCGAAGGCGGCCUGCUGGGCAGUUGCUGACGCUGAGGCGCGACAGCGUGGGGAGCAAACAGGAUUAGAUACCCUGGUAGUCCACGCCGUAAACGAUGGGCACUAGGUGCUUGCGGGAGCGACCCCGUGAGUGCCGGCG